GUCUGAUUUACUCCUGAUGUUCACUUCUGCUGACUUCUCAAGCUCUGGGGAUGCCUCAGUGAUCUCUGAUGUGGAAUUAGUGGAGGCUGGCCGUUGCUCACCUCUACACAGCCUGCUGGUCGUUAGCGAGCAGGAGUUCUGAUGUUCCUCUCAUCUUGGAUGUCUUUCCUAGGAGAAUAUUUCUCACGUGUUUGACAGAAAACAUUAUCUGUCCAUCAUUUCCAUGGAUUCCUGGGUCUCACGGGCAGAAGGACAAGGCAGAUAUGAGGCGGAUCUGGUAAAACCAUAAACACCAUGAGAUCAGAGCAUCCAUCUGUAGACUCACAGAGCAAGAAGCGUGACUGCCCCAAUCUUGAAUGGAUGAGUAAUCAGCUGCCGGGUCCACCACUUCUUAACUUCAGAACCGCAGGAAGCCGCGUCAGUCAUGGGGUUCAUUUUGCACACGACAGAUUUCAUGGUUGUCCUUCCUCCAAACCGAGGAACCUAGAUCUUCUCUGAUCUCUGAAAAAUAAGUUCCUGGAUAUGAAAGGGGAUACUUUCCUUGGUGGUAGUCCCAGUGAAGACCCACUGAACAUCGUCAGCCUCAAAAUGUAAGCUGUGCUGUCAUCUGCUUUGUGGAACACAUAUGCUACACAUCUUCUCCUUUCAAUUGGGCUGAAGUUGGGGCACAGUUAAAGAGCAUUAUAAAGCUCCUGCUUUAGCAUGAACUUAGUUAUCUAUAGAAAAAAACAUGUACAAGGACACUGGGCUGUGGGGAGCAUUGCUCUCCCUCCAUUCCUGAGUGCUCUUAAUGGGAUUAUCCUGGCUUUCCAAAACCCUAUAGAGAAGAAGCUCAUAGAAGAAAAUUCUCUUACUGAAUCAGUAAAAUAUGGAAAAUAAUGGGACUGUUUAUUAAAGGAUUGAAUGAGAGAACACAAGUAAUGCACUUAGAAGAGUGACUGGCAUACAGUGAGUACUACGUGCUGGCUUCUCAACCAUGAUAGCCUGAAAUGUACCCGGAAAAUGGGGGCUAAUGUAAGUCAUAUUUAGAGAAGUUAUUUUGGGGGACAAUGUUUUUGACAAGACUACAUUUUUCAUUAUGUUGCUGUCUGUAAACAACUGUAGAUGCAGACUUGCAUUUUGAAAGGCAAGACCCAAAACACACAAACAGAGUAAAUACCUUUAAAAUGCCUCGAUCGCUGGAGAAAUGCCUGGAUGGACCUACCUGAGGGCAGACGCCACUGCCCAAAUUUCCUCUGGGGUUUCCCUGCGUCGGCUGCAUCUUGCCGACUUCCUCCUCGAUCCGACAGCGUGGGGCUCAGGAGCUGCUGCUGGCUGCUUGUCUGCAUGGGAGGAGAAGCACACAGUUACCGUCUUUUUAACCCUGCGCUCUCCUCCUUUUACUAUAAGAAAGGAAAACACAUGGCAGGAGGACAAGUGGGAAGAACAACAUGGACUCAGAGUGUCCACAAUGGGGAAAAGUGAAAAUGGGUAUAAAGGGUCACAGAAGAAAAAGAGCCACCACUGCACGCCCUGCUGAAGGAGACACCACUCUUCCUGGGACAUCUUGUCCUGGGUAACCCCCACUGCUUCGUUCCCCUCCAUGCCUGAGAAUGUCAUUGUUUCCCUUCAUAUCUUCGCUGGCAAACCAGGGGGCACUUCUUGAGCCACAUGCGGAUGGUCUGCUUGGCCACCUCCUCCUCUAUGGUGUACUCCAGCUGCUCCCUCGCCAGGAGUUCCUCCAGCUGCAAGCUCUUCCGGAUGUCCACGGACCGGUAUGAAAGCAUGCUGGUGGGAGAAACACACCUGCAAUCGCAGCUCUGAUUCACCUGAGAUUUACACCCUUAGAUACGUCAAAAUCCAGAGAGGACAUCACUCAGUCUAAUAAGUCUAGUGUUUUGACGCCACCCCUCGCCACCCGCAUGUCUUGGGCUGGUCCUGUCACCUCUCUGUGUCUCCCUUCCCUCGUCUGUAAAACAAAGAUGAUAGAUAGUCCUGGUAACUCCUUUAUUUAAUGACUAAGUGAGUUAAUAUCUGUGAGGCUCUUAUAGUAGUAAGUGCCAUCUAAGUGCCUGUAAAGCAAAAGAUCCAGGCUAGGAAAAGGCUCGCGACUUUCUCUGCAGAAGGAAGACCGCACCUCCCAUACUUUCUUCACACUUAGCCCCCCGAGGUGAUGGUUAAUAUGCUCGGCUGUGCGUCACACAUCCCUACUCCCUGCAUCCCACUUCCCUCUCUGUUUCUCUCAUUCAUCCUUCUGUAUCUUCCUUAUUAAUUAAUUUUUUCUUUUUUUGAGAUGGAGCUUCACUCUUGUUGACCAGGCUGGAGUGUAAUGGCGUGCUGUCAGCUCACUGCAACCUCCGCCUCCUGGGUUCAAGCAUUUCUUCUGCCUCAGCCUCCCAAGUAGCUGGGAUUACAGGUGUGUGCCACCACGCCCAGCUAGUUUUGUAUUUUUAGUAGAGACGAGUUUUCACCAUGUUGGUCAAACUGGUCUUAAACUCCUAACCUCAAAUGAUCCACCUGCCUCAGCCUCCCAAAGAGCUGGGAUUACAGGUGUGAGCCACCAUGCCUGGUCUUCCUUAUUAAUUUCAGAGGCUACCAAACAAACCCAGGGUUGAAUAUCCACUCCCAUUUAACCCUUGACAC
rnacentral:lncRNA from 1 species